CAGCAGCCGCGGUAAUACGUAGGUGGCAAGCGUUGUCCGGAAUUAUUGGGCGUAAAGGGCUCGCAGGCGGUUUCUUAAGUCUGAUGUGAAAGCCCCCGGCUCAACCGGGGAGGGUCAUUGGAAACUGGGAAACUUGAGUGCAGAAGAGGAGAGUGGAAUUCCACGUGUAGCGGUGAAAUGCGUAGAUAUAUGGAGGAACACCGGUGGCGAAGGCGACUCUCUGGUCUGUAACUGACGCUGAGGAGCGAAAGCGUGGGGAGCGAACAGGAUUAGAGACCCCCGUAGUCCCUGUCUCUUAUAC
rnacentral:rRNA from 1 species